GAGCCUGUGGCAUGAAGGUCCUCCCCAGUAAACAUCAGCCUGCAAACAGAAUCACUAGUGCUUAGCAACAGUGUCAUAGUGCCACUGGAAUGGUGGUAGAAGGAUCUCUUCACCCCUAGACUACCACGGCAGAUUGGAACCCAGGAAUCCGCAGAGAAAACAUAAGAUUUCUAUCUAGAAAAAGGGAGCAAAAGAGAAAGGAAGGGAGUGGAUAGGGCAGGACUGUGUACUUCAGGGGCCUGCAGUCUCUGCACCAGGACACCAGGAGACCUGACUCAGAGAAGAGACUAGAAACCAACAGAAAGAAACUAAACAGCUGUCUGAUACAUAUACAGAUACACACUUGUACAUGUGUAUCCCAAUUUAAAGCUAUACAGAAAAUUAACUGAGGAACGGACUAUGGGGUCGUUGAUCUUCCUUCUCAUCAAACUUGCAUCCCACCAACUUCGGGCCUGCUGCAGCUAAUUAUUCUUGAUUCUCCCAACCAAGAACACUCAGAAACCUGACCUGAUUACAACAUACCUCAAAAAUCCCAAGUGUACGUAUAUCUUCUGGGCUGGUGAACAUGGCCUCCAACUCUUCAAGUUUUAUGCACAGUAGUAGAGGCUAGAAGAGGAAGCUCAAUUUGAAUCCCAGAAGAUAUGUUUAAAUUGCAGAGUAAAAGCCUUUCUCUCUGGGAAGGAGAGUGACAGGUGUGCCAGCCAGUAUAUGUAAGUUGCAAGUCUC
rnacentral:lncRNA from 10 species